GAUGGACGCUAGCGGCAGGCCUAAUACAUGCAAGUCGAACGGUCCACUUCGGUGGAUAGUGGCGCACGGGUGCGUAACACGUAUGCAACCUACCUUACAUUGGGGGAUAGCCUUUCGAAAGGGAGAUUAAUACCGCAUCAGACAGUAACAUGGCAUCAUGUAGCUGUUAAAGAUUUAUCGAUGUAAGCUGGGCAUGCGUCCAAUUAGUUAGUUGGUGAGGUAAUGGCUCACCAAGACGAUGAUUGGUAGGGGAACUGAGAGGUCAAUCCCCCACACUGGCACUGAGAUACGGGCCAGACUCCUACGGGAGGCAGCAGUAGGGAAUAUUGGGCAAUGGACGCAAGUCUGACCCAGCCAUGCCGCGUGCAGGAAGAAGGCGUUCUGCGUUGUAAACUGCUUUUAUAUAGGAAGAAACGACCCUUGCGAGGGGCAUUGACGGUAUUAUAUGAAUAAGCACCGGCUAACUCCGUGCCAGCAGCCGCGGUAACAC
rnacentral:rRNA from 1 species